UGAUGUCUCGUGUGCUCUCUGACCGGAGCCCUGCAGUGGUCAGUUAGGCUAAAAUCAGCAAUCAGAGGUAUCAAUCCUCAACAAAGGUCCUUCGAGCCGGAUAAUUGACUACCGCAGAAUAUGUCAUCAGAAGACGAUACAAUGUCCAUCCCUCAUAUGGAGGUACGAGAGCGACAAGUGAGACAGCGCCGCACACCUAGGCAUCUAGAGCAGUACAUCCUUGCCUACAAUCCUCGUAGGCCUGCCCCUUCCUCCCACCCUGACAAUGGAGAACGUGAGGAGCAGAGAGGAGCAGCGGCCGCAGCAGACAGUGGACAAGCAGAUGCAACUUCUCAUCUUGGUGCAAGCGGAGCCUCACGUAGCUCUAACUCAGGUGACCCACUGAGCACCACAUCACUGAAACAACUCAUUGAAUCUUUAUCCAGGAGUGAGGAGGAGGAAAGAGCGGAGAUAGCUGAAGUCACACACAAACUCCGUCAAUAUGAACAUCGACAACGUCGUCGUCAAGAACUACUAGGGCACAUCACAUCAUUCCUGCGAGAAGAAGAGGAGAAUGAUGAGGCUUGCAACGUGAAGGGUUCCAUGCCCACUCAAGUACAAAGUCAGUCUCCACUUCACACCCUUACCUGUGUUCACCCUCUGAGCUACUCCCCUCCAGCAGAGAGGCAGGUUCAAAACAUGGAGUCUCACAUUGAAAGACAUACACCAAAUAUGAUUUCAACAUUAGAGGGAGAAGCUGGACCGAGAGACUACACCUCUAUCAUAACAAGCGAAAGAGCGAGAUCUGCAUUUACGCCAUUGCAUCCAGUCCCUCCAGAACACCCACACUCCCCCUAUUCAACCAUCUCUGCGGGAGCGAUAACUCCAACCUCGGCACAAAGACACCUCAUAAAGCCAGUCCCUCUACAGCCCCAGAUGACGGAGCUGUAUCGCUGUGAGGAUGGAGUUUCCUAUAUGCACCAGCCUCAGGUACCACAGCUGUUAACCAAAACAGCCCUGUCUUACAAUCCCACACCUCCAGCUUUAUAUCAGAGACUUCCCCCAUCUCAAGCCCCCUCAACUUAUAGCCUGCCUCAUUAUGUACCUGUGCCAGCAUCGGUAGUUGCACCCCAGACUCUUCCACCUGCCUCAGGAAUGCGUAAUAUCCCUGCAGCUGUUCAGUCACAGUUUCCAGCCAGCCAGGCCAUAGCCCCACAUAACUUUAGCACACAACCACGCUCCAUAUAUGGUGUGCCCAAACCCAAAAU
rnacentral:lncRNA from 1 species